ensembl:miRNA mdo-mir-218-2 mdo-mir-218-2
UUGUGCUUGAUCUAACCAUGUGGUGGAACGAUAGAAACAGAACAUGGUUCUGUCAAGCACCGCG